UGGGGAAUUUUGCACAAUGGGCGAAAGCCUGAUGCAGCGACGCCGCGUGAGGGAUGACGGCUUUCGGGUUGUAAACCUCUUUUAUCCACCACGAAGGCCCCGUAUUCGCGGGGUUGACGGUAGUGGUUGAAUAAGCGCCGGCUAACUACGUGCCAGCAGCCGCGGUAAGACGUAGGGCGCGAGCGUUGUCCGGAUUUAUUGGGCGUAAAGGGCUCGUAGGCGGUUGAUUGCGUCCGCCGUGAAAGGCCUCGGCUUAACCGGGGUUUUGCGGUGGAUACGGGUCGACUUGAGGCAAUUAGGGGAGAUCGGAAUUCUACGUGUAGCGGUGAAAUGCGCAGAUAUGUGGAGGAACACCGGUGGCGAAGGCGGAUCUCUGGGAUUGUUCUGACGCUGAGGAGCGAAAGCGUGGGGAGCGAACAGG
rnacentral:rRNA from 1 species